UGUCGUCAGCUCGUGUUGUGAAAUGUUGGGUUAAGUCCCGCAACGAGCGCAACCCUUAUCCUUUGUUGCCAGCGGUCCGGCCGGGAACUCAAAGGAGACUGCCAGUGAUAAACUGGAGGAAGGUGGGGAUGACGUCAAGUCAUCAUGGCCCUUACGACCAGGGCUACACACGUGCUACAAUGGCGCAUACAAAGAGAAGCGACCUCGCGAGAGCAAGCGGACCUCAUAAAGUGCGUCGUAGUCCGGAUUGGAGUCUGCAACUCGACUCCAUGAAGUCGGAAUCGCUAGUAAUCGUGGAUCAGAAUGCCACGGUGAAUACGUUCCCGGGCCUUGUACACACCGCCCGUCACACCAUGGGAGUGGGUUGCAAAAGAAGUAGGUAGCUUAACCUUCGGGAGGGCGC
rnacentral:rRNA from 1 species